rnacentral:rRNA from 1 species
AUUGAACGCUGGCGGCAGGCCUAACACAUGCAAGUCGAACGGUAACAGGAAACAGCUUGCUGUUUCGCUGACGAGUGGCGGACGGGUGAGUAAUGUCUGGGAAACUGCCUGAUGGAGGGGGAUAACUACUGGAAACGGUAGCUAAUACCGCAUAACGUCGCAAGACCAAAGAGGGGGACCUUCGGGCCUCUUGCCAUCGGAUGUGCCCAGAUGGGAUUAGCUAGUAGGUGGGGUAACGGCUCACCUAGGCGACGAUCCCCAGCUGGUCUGAGAGGAUGACCAGCCACACUGGAACUGAGACACGGUCCAGACUCCUACGGGAGGCAGCAGUGGGGAAUAUUGCACAAUGGGCGCAAGCCUGAUGCAGCCAUGCCGCGUGUAUGAAGAAGGCCUUCGGGUUGUAAAGUACUUUCAGCGGGGAUGAAGGGAGUAAAGUUAAUACCUUGGCUAAUUGACGUUACCCGCAGAAGAAGCACCGGCUAACUCCGUG